rnacentral:ncRNA from 1 species
GAAGCGCGAACCAAGCAGGCGCAUCAAGGCGCUGUGAGACUUGGAGCUGGUCUUGGCAACGAGAUCAUGCA